rnacentral:rRNA from 1 species
AGUGAACGCUGGCGGUAGGCCUAACACAUGCAAGUCGAACGGCAGCACAGUAAGAGCUUGCUCUUACGGGUGGCGAGUGGCGGACGGGUGAGGAAUACAUCGGAAUCUACUUUUUCGUGGGGGAUAACGUAGGGAAACUUACGCUAAUACCGCAUACGACCUACGGGUGAAAGCAGGGGAUCUUCGGACCUUGCGCGAUUGAAUGAGCCGAUGUCGGAUUAGCUAGUUGGCGGGGUAAAGGCCCACCAAGGCGACGAUCCGUAGCUGGUCUGAGAGGAUGAUCAGCCACACUGGAACUGAGACACGGUCCAGACUCGUACGGGAGGCAGGAGUGGGGAAUAUUGGACAAUGGGCGCAAGCCUGAUCCAGCCAUACCGCGUGGGUGAAGAAGGCCUUCGGGUUGUAAAGCCCUUUUGUUGGGAAAGAAAAGCAGCAGGUUAAUACCCCGCUGUUCUGACGGUACCCAAAGAAUAAGCACCGGCUAAAUUCGG